CCCAGCUAAUUUUUUUUUUUUUGCAUUUUUAGUAGAGGCAGGGUUUCACCAUGUUGGCUAGGCUGGUCUCGAACUGCUGACCUCAGGCGAUCCACCCACCUCGGCCUCCCAAAGUGUUGGGAUUACAGGCGUAAGCCACCGUGCCUGGCCUAUUUAUUUCCCUGAUUACCUCUAAUAAUUUUACAGAAGUCGAGAUACAAAGCUCCAAAGGGACACUCCAUUCUAGGCCUCCAUCCAUGAGCAUCCUCUACUACAUUAUUGAAGAGCUAAAGUUUGAGUUGAGUGUUUGAAGAUGAAAAAAAGUUUUUUAGACAGACAAGGAUGUGAGUGUUGUGGGGAUGGGAACAGCUUGUGCAAAGGUGCAUUAGAACCAACAAGCAUGGCCUACUCAGAAUUCAGCAAUUGAUUCAAGCUUGCAGCGGGGACAGGGAGCACGUGGAGUGGCAGGGUUCUGUUGGAGUGGCAAAGGGUGGAUUGUGCUGGGGCUUGUAAGCUACACUGAGAAGACCAGGCUAUCCUGGGAAGAAUGGGAGUUUUUGAAAUGAUUUAAGAGUGAAAUGAACUUCUGAGAUCAACAUUUUACAAGGAAUCUUAGGUCUUCUGCCUUGGAGCACCAUUAACAAUGGUCCCCUUUCUCCAAAGACUAAAAUGUUUCUCAGAUCAUAAGGGGGACAAUGAGUAUCCAAUGGCAAACGAUGCUGCUAUGAUUUGAGUAAUGGUCUCUCCUCCAAAAUUGAUAUUGGCACUUAAUCCCUGAUGCAACAGUAUUAAGGUUUGUGGCCUCUAGGAGGUAAUUAAAUCAUGAGGGCUGUGCCUUCAUGAAUGGCAUUAACACCCUUGUAAAAGGACUUGAGGUUGAAGGGAGUCUCUUCCACCAUCUUCCUUCCAUGUGAGGACACAGCAACUAGGCACCAUCUUGAAAACAGAGAGCUUCCUCACCUCUCUGUUGGUGCCUUGAUCUUGGACUUCCCAGCCUCCACAACUAUAAGAAAUAAAUUUCUGUUCUUUACACAUUACUCAGCCUAAGGUGUUUUGUUAAAGCAGUAAAAACAGACUAAGACAGAUGCCUUAUCCUCACUGAUCCCCAUGGCAGGAGAACCCCUAUCCUGGCCUGUGCCCAUGGAAGAGCCUGGUGUGAUGGGCCAAUUAAGCAACUGCCACAGAGAGGGAGCCCUGCCUGAACCCCCUUUGUUGACUGCUGCAGCCAAGUAUACCAUCUCAGUAAAGAGGGGCUCAAGAAUGGUCUCAGAUGUGGGCAGGCCCAGGGAGAAGGAGCUGUCCCCAUUCUUGAACCAUUGUCAGGUUGGCCAUUGAGUUGGGCUGAGUUUGGACUUGGCCAGGAUGGAAAGUGAGGAAGAGGAGAAUGGACAAAGAAAAGUGGCCCUGGAUAUUAGAUGGUGGGGCCUGGGGGUUGACAAUUCCUGUCUCCUGGGGUAGCGCAGUGCUGGCCACAAACAGGGCAUCUGGUGAAAGUUUGCUGAUUGACAGAUAGGGCGGGCUCCUGCUCCCUCCACCUAAGCCUUGUGUCUCUGAGAACCCCCUGGAGGAGAGGACACAGCUCUGCACCUCCUGUGGCUGGAGGGCUUUGUACCUGGAAGUCACCUUGGCAGGAAGCCUUUCUGCCUCCCUCCUCAUCCCGCUUCCUGCUAUGAUGCCCACUCAUUCAGCUUUGCUUUUUUCCCAUUUCCUGCUGCCAGGACUGUUCCAUGUUUCACUAGAAGGGAAACAUUAUUGUCCUUUCCACUUCUUACCCCUUCCACCAAUUUUCUUUUUAGGUAAUAAAUUUGUUCCUUAAUGAGCUUCCUCAGGAUCCAGCCAGGCCCCAGUCAAGGCCUGUCUCUGCCUUGGCACCUCAGGCACAGUCCUGGAGAAGCCAGGACCAGACCCCUCCCCAGGGAUCAGCAGCAGCCUCCACCGGGACUCGGAAUGUAUUAGGCCAUUAUCCCACCAAAGAUGGAAGCCCAAGCCCAUGUCCUCUCUUCCCCAGGGUUCAGAACAAGCCCAGCAACACUACACCAGUUCUUUCACGGUGGGCCAGUGGCACCGUAUAAUCCAAGAUGAGGCUGCUGCCCUGAAUGCAGAGAAAGCCUCGUUUCCUUGCGUUAAACCCCACAUGGGAUGCUGUCCCUCUCCCACAGGGAUGGGGCAGGCUUGGUGGGAUAGCACUUGGAAAGAGCGCAUCUCAUGCCCGCCACGUGGCAAAUGGUCAGUGACCCCCUAACAGUGAUGCUGUGACCAGUAGCUUCCUACCCAAGGGGAGGCCAGAGCCUGAUGUCCCCUCUUGCCCGUGGAACAACUCGAGGCCAAGUUCUGAUCCUGAUAUCACUGUUUGGGGACAAAAGUCAACUAUUCACUCCACUGGAAGAUGUGGUUCACUCCACAGUCUCUGGGAUACGUCAGACCAGCAUAAGAUGCCGUUGAGGAACAAGCCAACAUAGCAAGGCUGCAACUACCACAGAGAUAGCAAGGAGACAGGUCAUAUGGGAAGAGGAUGGCCUUGGUGGGAGGUAGAUCUGAGUUCCAACUCUGGCUCUGCCACUUAAAGCUGUGCCACCUUGUGCAAAUCUCUUCACUUCUCUGAGUCAAUUUGUCAUCAUCAUUGUCAUUGUCAUCAUUGUCAUCGAUACCAUUCACUGAGUGUGCACUGUAUGCCAAGCAGCCAUCUCUCAUUUGAUUCUCAUAGCAACUGUAUGAAUAGAUAUCAUUACUCCUAUUUUAAGCACAAAGAAAGGAGGUUCAGGGAGAUUAUUAAACUUGCCCAAGACCAACAAGUAAGUAGUUAAGACAGGUUUUCAGCCUGACUCUCGCUGAUUCCAAAGCCUAUGUAUGUGGUGGGUUGCAUGGUGGUCCCCAAAAAGAUAUGUCCCUUUCCUAAGCCCCAGAACCUGUGAAUACGAUCUUAUUUAGAAAAACGAUCUUUAGGCCUGACACAGUGGCUCAGACCUAUAAUCCCAGCACUUUGGGAGGCCGAAGUGAGCAGACUGCUUGAGCUCAGGAGUUCAAGACCAGCCUGGCCAACAUGCUGAGACCCCAUCUCUAAAUAGCCUGGAGUGGUGGCAUACACCUGUGGCCCCAGCUUCUCAAGAGGCUGAGGUGAGAGGAUCUCUUGAGCCUGGGAGAUGGAGGUUGCAGUGGGCCGAGAUUGCACCACUGGACUCUAGCCUGGGCAACAGAGCGAGACCCUGUCUCAAAUAAAAAAGAAAAAGAGUCUUUGCAGAUGUAAUUAAGUCAUGGAUCUUGAGAUGACGUCAUCUAGGAAUAUCCAGAUGGGCCCUAAAUCUAAAGACAAGUGUCCUUAGACAGAAGAAAAAAAAGACACAGAGAAGAGACGGUUAUGUGAAGACAGAGGUAAGAUUAGAGGUCUGCAGUCAUGAGCCAAAGACCUCCUGAAGCCACCAGAUGCUGGAAGAGUCAAGGAAGGAUUCUUCCCUGGAGCUCUGUGGGAGUAAGGUGCUCCCAGCACCUUGAUUUUGGACUUCUGGCCUCCAGAGUUGUGAGAAUAAAUUUCUGUUGUUUUAAGCCACUCGGUUUGUGGUUAUCUGUCACAGCAGCCACAGGCUACUAACACACCGUGCAAUGUAUUUAAGUGCGUUUUAUUGCUAUCAAAUGGUCCCUGCACCCCCUGCCCUGCAUCUCCACCAGCCUCAGUUCCACCUGCUUGCUGGAGCAAACGGCAGUGGAAAAGUUCAUCAGUUCUCUUAGCUCCUUCCAGGCUCGUCUCUACCCAUUUGACACCGGCCCUGGUUAGUAUGUCCAAGUGGCCUUGAGCCACCUCCCUGAGAAAGUCACUCUCUGCUAGGAUGGAGCAAGUCCUGCAGACUGCGGGUCGGGGAGGGCUUGCCGCAGCCUGGGCCACAGGCUCUCUCCUCCUGGAAGCUAGUCUGCCAUGGCUUGUGCUGUGCAGGACUCAAGGUCACUUCUGGUUUAAGCCCCCAUCUCAUUGACAAAGGAACGAGCAGGGGACAGCCAUCUGAGGGGAGGGCAUGGGGAACAGCAUAGGUGGGAGCCCCAGUUCUCCCAAGCUAUUCAGGAAUCGGAUCGAGUCACUCCUUUCCUCAGAAACAGAGCAAGGCUCCUCACAGCCUCCCAAAUCGAGCCCAAACUCAGCCUGGAACUCAGCACUCUUUAUUAUCUGGCCCUGGGCUGUUGCUGGAUUCCUAGACACUGGGAUUCCUGGAUGCUGAUCCAGCUCUCAAGAGCCCUGGCUCUGUGGCUAUGAUGAUUGCCCCUGAAUAUCUGUACCACUACACCCAAACCACUCAGGGGCCCCAGUGUGUGUGCCCCUGUUCUGUGAAACGUGAACAGUGUUGGCUGAGCCAACACACCCUACCC
rnacentral:lncRNA from 10 species